rnacentral:lncRNA from 1 species
CAGGAAGCCAGCAUUUUUAAUAAAUAGGAAGUAAAUUAUAUUUAAUGACUAAAUUCUCACCUAAAGUUGAUACUAAUUACAAUAACUCUCUUGUGCCCUAUUUUGGUGUUUUAAACUUCUUUGCUGUAUAUUUAAGAAAAUCAGAAUUUCAGUAGACUCCUCGUGCAGUCUGAGAAGGCAGUUUCCUAUCUGGUUUGACUUAAGGGGCUGCAGAAGACAUUCUUAUCCCACAUAUUUCUUCUGCUGAUCAGUCAGCAACUGAAAUUCCAACUAAUGGAUUCCAUUCUUCCAGUGAAGACAUCAUCUCUAGAAAACUGUGCUAGUUGGCAUCCAGCAGUGCCCAAGUAUUAUUUAACCCACUAGAACCUGUGACUGCAUCAGCUUUAUAUCCUGGACCUCAGCCUGGAACAAAGGAGAGGUACACUUGGAUACUAAACACAAGUGGUCUGGAUAGAUUAUGCUGGGAAAAGAAGCCUGGAGCAGGCAGUACAGUGGGAGAACAAGGAGAGAAUGGAGUUGCAGCAGACUGCUCAGGAAUUGUACAUCACCAGUAGCUUCCGUCUCAGCUAAGUGUGGGAGACUGAUACUGAUGAGCCAUUAACAAUGGUGGAGAUUCUGAAUCACUGAAGCACUUGAUAAAAGAAAUGUCCUGGGUGAUGUGAAAAUCUACAUAUGCCCAUGAGAGUAUAUUGAGUUUGUAAGUGUUGUUGCUUAGGGUGUCACAGAGAAGUUUAUGAGAAACUAUUUUGGAGUAAUAAACAACACAGAAGAACACAGUUUCAGCCUGAAAUGGCUUAUUUAGCCACUGACCAUCAGAAACAAUUACUUUUUCCUUAACCUAGAUUUGUAAUAGCAGGACGCAUUGAAUUCCUUCAUUGAAGUGAAACCUUCGCAAAUCUUUAAGUAGUACUCUAAAGUGACAAAAGGUGUUUACAUUUACUAAUGUAAAUUUCUUGUGGAGAUAAAGUUUUUAUUCUUCUUGAGUCACAAAGCUGUUCAAGAGGGAACCAUCGUUUGUUCUACACUGCUCUGUUCUAAAUGUUUGUUCCCCCAAUAUUCAUAUGUUGAAAUUCUAACCCCCAAGGAGAUAGUAUUAGGAGGUGGGGCCUUCGGGACAUGAUAAGGUCAUGAGGAUGAAGCCCUCAAGAAUAAGAUUCAUUGCCUUAUAAAGAAAAACCAGAAAGAUCCCUCAUUUCUUCAAUCAUAAGAAGACACAUGAGCAAGAAGACGGCCAGCUAUGAAGCAGGUCGUGGGCCCUCGCCAGACACCGAAUCUGCCAACACUUUGAUCUUGGAUUUCCUAGCCUGCAGAACUGUGAGAAAUAAAUUUCUUUUCUUUAUAA